AGGUGAUACUUCCCUUCUAUAGGGCGUUGGUCAGACCGCAGUUGGAGUACUGCGUGCAAUUCUGGGCGCCACACUUCAAGAAGGACGCGGAUAACCUGGAGAGGGUACAGAGAAGGGCAACUCGUAUGGUCAAGGGCCUGCAGACCAAGCCCUACGAGGAGAGACUAGAGAAACUGGACCUUUUCAGCCUCCGCAAGAGAAGGUUGAGAGGCGACCUUGUGGCUGCCUUUAAGUUCAUCACAGGGGCACAGAAGGGAAUUGGUGAGGAUUUAUUCACCAAGGCGCCCCCGGGGGUUACAAGAAACAAGGGCCACAAGCUAGCAGAGAGCAGAUUUAGACUGGACAUUAGGAAGAACUUCUUCACAGUUCGAGUGGCCAGGGUCUGGAAUGGGCUCCCAAGGGAGGUGGUGCUCUCCCCUACCCUGGGGGUCUUCAAGAGGAGGUUAGACGAGUAUCUAGCUGGGGUCAUCCAGACCCAGCACUCUUUCCUGCUUAUGCAGGGGGUUGGACUUGAUGAUCUAUUGAGGUCCCUUCCGACCCUAACAUCUAUGAAACUAUGAAACUAUGAAGUUUUAUAUUAUGUUGUAUCAUUACACCUGUAAAUAGUUAAAUAUCACUGGGUGUUCUCCGUCUCUGUUCUGCUCUGCUCUAUAGGAAAAAGAGGUGAGCUGGCCUACAGCUAGGCAGCCAUGCUCCCACAGCGUACAUGCACCCACUGACAUCCCUUCAAAUGGAGAGUGGGUCACUUCCACGUAUCACCCGGGUUACAUUCAGUUCAGAUUCUACCACUUCCCCUGGGAGACAAUUCCCUGAAUUUAUCAGAUAUCACUGCUUCCUAAUAUUACCCUACAUUUCCCUUAUUAUUAAUCAUAAAUCAUUUCCCACUUUAUUUAAAAAAAUCAAGCUGCAGUAUUGACUGUUUUCUUACCAUAUGUCCCAAGGUGUCAACAUUUCUGAAGCAUAUUGCUAGGAAAGAAGCACAGUAGUUUCUGUGAUCUUGAGUCCUUUUCUGCUGGGUUGCAGGCACAUUCUGAUUUCCCAAAACUUCUACUAGUAACCAGACAGAUGGUUGCCAAAGAAGAAAUGGGAGUGGAAAUUGACCUAUAUCUCAAUGACAACAUGAUCCAAAGCCAAUUGAGACUCAAACUGACAUCAUCAUGCUUUGGACUUUGCCCAUAGUUUCUCCAAGGGGGACAGAAGCACCUAAGAUUGUAACAUGAAGGUCUAUUACAAAAAUUCUCCAUCAGUCAGUAAUGUAUCAUUAUGUAAUAUUUGUUUGCAGUAGGAGCUGAAGCCCAUAGCCAUGAUGACGCCUUUUGGCCUUGGUGCUAUACAAGCGUGUUGUUGUCCGUCCUUUGAAUUUGAAGAUAACCAUGACAUCACUGGUUGGUUUGGUUUCUGUGAGAACAUGAGUGGCUGAUCAGACCAAUUUGUGCUUUGAAUUGUCUAUGGCACACUGAGCAAGAAAUACUUUGGGUUGCUUGAUCAACAGCAGAUGUGCUGCUGUUGCAAGAUUUAUGCUGUUUGUGCUUCUGCUGUGCCUCAGCAGUUCUCCUGCACUCAUAGAUGGUAGCUCCAGCAUGGAUGAGGCUUCACCAGGUGGAAUGAUCACAAGCGAGGUCUCCCCAAGACGUCCGGUCAAUGUCGAAACAUUUCAAGCAUGACUUGAGGGAGACCAUGAAAUGUUUCUUCUGGCCUCCUUGAGAGUACUUUCCUUCCUUUAGCUUGCUGUAGAAGAUCUUCUUUGACAGACGCUCAUCUGACAUCCUGGUGACAUGACCUGCCCAUCUUAUCUGUGAUUUCAUCAACAGAAUGUGGAUGCUUGGAAUGCCUGCCCAUGUGAGAAGCUCAGUGUCUGAGACCUUGUCUUGCCAUCUUAUCCUCAUCAGUUUCCUUAGACAGCCCAUGUGAAGAUUGUUCAGCUUCAUAGCACGACGUCUGUACAUUGUACAGGUUUCACAUGCAUACAUUAGGAUUGGCAACACAAUGGCUUUGUAGACCUUCAGCUUUGUUUGUUGAUUGAUGUCUCUGUGCUCCUACACAUUUGCACAUAGUCUGCUGAAGGCCAUGCUUGCUUUGGUAAUUCUGGUGUUGGUUUCAUCAUCAAUGUGAACUACAUGUGACAGAGUAGUGCCGAGAUAAGUGAACUUGUCCACUUCUUGAAGGGUUUGGCCAUUCAUUGUGAUGGUAGGCUCUAUGUAAGGCUUUCCUGGCGCAGGCUGGUGCAUCACUUCUGUCUUCUUAGUGUUGAUUGUGAGACCAAAGUUGUCACAAACGAAAGAGAAAUGGUCCAUACUCUGCUGCAUGUCAGUCUCAGAUUUGGCAUUCAGGGAACAGCCUGUCUAUGGUCACCAUGUCUUUUCCUGAAGCCACACUGACUCUUAGGCAGAAGACCUUGUUCAGUGUGUUGCACAAAGUGAUUCAGGAGAAUUCUGGUGAGGAUUUUGCUGGCUGCUGACAGCAAGGAGAUGCCCCAGUGGUUAUUGCAGGAUUCUCUACUGCCUUUCUGCUUGUACAAAUGGAUGAUAGAUGCAUCCUUGUACUCCUGGGUUAUAGUUCCUCGAGCCCACAUUGACUGGAAGAGUUCAGUCAGUUUCAGAGCCAUGUGUGAGCCUCUGGCCUUGUAGACCUCUGCUGGUAUAGCAUCUGCUUCAGGUGCUUUGCCAUUUCACAGCAGGUUAAUUGAUUUCACAGUCUCAGUCAGCAUUGGAGGAUGAGCAAAAGACAUGGUAAUGUUUACCUGAGGCAGUCAGUCAAUUGACUCUUUACUAAUAGGUGACUGUUGAUUGAGGAUGUUGAAGUGUUCUGCCCAUCUUUGCAGUAUCUUUCCUUUGUCACUGAGCAGUGUGGUGCCAUCAACACCCAGUAUUGGAGAUGUUCCUGAUGACUGUGGCCUGUAGAUUGUCCUCAGAGCAUCAUAGAAGUUCUUCAUAUCACUGCUGCUUGCAUAAGACUAAAUCUCAUCUGCCUUUCUGCUCAACCAUUAGUUUUGCACCCCUCUGAGUUUGUGUUGGACAGUCCUCUUGAUGAUGUUGAAGGCUGCCUUCUUAGAUGUUGAAGUGCUGUAUUCUAAACAGGCCUUAUGGAGCCAAUGUUUCUCGUUCAGUAGUCAGUAUCGCAUUAUGUCAGUAUCUUUUUCACCAAACCAAUCUUGAUAUUUACAUGUGAUGGGACCAAGGGUAUUGGAUGUAGCUGAGUAUACAGAGUCUCUGAAGGAUGCCCAACUUUCCUUAAUGGUAUUGAAGUUUACAUCAAUUGUUACUAGGUGGCUGCACAGUUCUUCAACAAUGCCUUUUUUACCUUCUGUUUCAUUUUGAAGGCAUUGAGCCUUUUGGGUGGUUUUUGUCUUGUGGUCAUCUACUAGGAUGCAUCCAGAUACUCAGUUUAUACAGAGAUACAAGCCUAUGAGCUUGUGGUUAGUCCAGCAUUCUGCACUUCUCAUGGCCCUUUUCACUUGGACAUCUUGUCUACCUCUUCUGAUGAUGCCAAUGCUUGGAGUGCAGGUGCAUUCAAGACAUCUUGUUGUGGUUUGGCAGGUAGAAGACUGUUGAUGAUGAGGAGGUCAUGUUUUGGUGUAUUUCCUCAGUAGGAGGAACCCAUUGCUGUUGUAUUUCCCAAGGCUUUUUUUCCAAUGACACCUGGCCAUGCCUGGAGAUCUGUGCCAGAUCUAGCAUGAAAGCUUGUCUGCUUUCAGCACUUCUGUGAUAGGAGACCCCAGGUCUUCAUAAAAUUUGCCCUUAAUCACAUCUGUGUUGGUCAUGGUGGGUGCAUAAGCAUUGAUUAUAGUUGUAUUCUUUUGCCCAGACACUGGGUGUUUCAUUAGCACGAGUCUGUCAUUCACUCCCUUUGGGAGGUUUGUAAGCUUUCUGACUAGAUGUGCUUACAUGACAAACCUAACACCAGCUUCACAUUGCUCUUCAUUACUACAGCCAUUCCAGAAGAAGGCGUAGUCAGCUCCUUUUUCAAUGAGUUGUCCUUCUUCAGCUAGGCUUGUUUCACUCAGGGCCUCUAUCUGAAUGUUGAACCAGUUCUCUACCAGAGCUGUUCUUCUCUCUGGUCUAUCUGCUGUUGUACAGUUCAUUAGCAUGCACACAUUUGAAGCACUGAUGGUAAGUACUGUCACCUUUGUCUUUUUAAAUUUUUUAUAUGAUUUUCGAUCGCUAUAGUGGGAUCCCCAUCAUCUACGGUAUGCUCCUUGACCAGAGUUAAGAUGAAACAGACAAUGUUCAUGUUACCUUUUCUAGCCCCUUCCUCAUGUUAUGGAGAUAAGCAAUGUGAUCCGAACUAGGGCUGCUCAGUCACCCAGGGGGUUGCCAAAUUCCACUGCUGCUUCAGUCCAGUGAAAAGCGACCCUGUGCCCUGAGCCACCUGUGUACAGGUCUGCAGCUACAGCUCCCACACCUGCUGCUUUGCUGCUUCCCCAAUGCCAAAGGACUUGAGUAUCUUUAUGGAGGGAUAUAGAUGAUGUCAUAACUUGUACGUGAGUUGGAUUUUAGUGAGGGAAAGUUGCGCAGUUACCCUCACUCUCUUGUCCAGGUCUGUCUGAAUCUAGUGGCAUGACAGUGUUGAGAUGUCUGGAGACAAGUCUCGAUGCAGUGGAUGUCCAUCAGGUCCUUCCGCACUUGAAUUGAUGCCCUGCACUGUCCACACAGCUCUUGCCAUCUGCCCUCGUGGUGUGGGAGAUGAGCAUAUCUGCUUGGCCACCUGAUCCACCAGAGAGGACUUUUUAGAGGGAGCCAGGUGUAGCUGUCUACUCUGCUCAACAGUUUGGCCCUGCCCUUCAUUUUAUUUUGGGGUCAGCUCCCCUAGCCUUUCCCCACUAAGGGGUAACACAAGGCAGCGGGGAGGGGGGCAUGCUUUUAGGGCAUUCCAGACUUACCUUUACUUAAGGUUUUGUCUUAGUGGAACUUUCUAGGGACUGCUCUUCCAUGAGCAGUCCCACAACAGUGACCCCAAAUCCCAGUAGGGUACAGUUCUCUGUCAUACCCAGGACCAUAUAUACAAAUGUAUUACAAAUGACAUUCCCUACCCUGAAGUAGUGCUUACAGUGCAUGUGAUCUUCACUGCAUAAAAUACCCCUUCCAGUUUACUUGCCAUAAACCAAACCAAACUAAGCAUUCCCUCACCAUCAAUUAAUUCCCUAAUGUUUCUGUCUUUCCUCAUUCAUCUGACUUUCAAGAUAUCCUUUUCUCACUAUUCUUUGACCUGCCACUCUUUGAACACUUCAUGCAGGUGAUACUAUUGAGGUUCAUACAAAUGCAAAGAUGGCGCAGGAGGGAUAGUUUACACAGAAAUGAUGUUGCCUUCAGCAGAUGAUUUAUUGAAGUGUCAUGGGGAUUGAAAGCUUUCAAUCUCCCUCCUUCAGAGAUAUUUUGCUGCAUUUCUUUUUUCAUAUUAAACUAAGUGGAACCCAGCAUCCUAUUUUAGUAAGUGAAUUUUAGUCUGUAUGAAAGGAACUAGAUUAACAACCCUUGAAACUAAGAUCCUGUAGCUAUUUACGGAUCUCAAUAUGGGCAGCCAGUAUGCCAAUUCACUGCAGGACAAUGUUCCUUAAUUUUGAGCUGGAAGGCGCAUCUGCAGAAUAUGAAAAGAUAGUUCAUUUUCUGUAAGGGAAGAAAUGUAUAUAGAUUACUGACUGUUUAACAGUUUUUAAACUAUAUGCAGUUUGCACAAAAGGCCCAUGGCAUUAUUAACACGAUUGUAUUAAUAAAUAGCAUUUGAAUGAUAAUUAAAUCAAAGGUAACACUUUUCAUCUGUUGCUCUCAAAGAACUUUAGUGAGGAAGGAAAAUUAUCAUCAUUCCCAUUUCACAUAUGGGAAACCUAAAAUUCAGGGGUAUUGUGCCUAGUAUCACACAAAAGCAGGAUCAGUGGCAAAGCUGGGAAAAAAAUCCAGAUUUCCACAUUCUAAAUCUUAAUCAUAACUGUCCAUAAUCUUAAUAUAACUCAUAAUCUUAAUCAUAACUGUCCAUUUUGGGAAUAUGCCUCUCUCAGUUUAGGCAGAAUUCUUUGUUUAACAAAUAAUAAGAAAAUCAGAGCUGAAAUUCACUUGAAACCUUAUUGUAAAAUUAGGUAUAUUUUAAAAAUUCAGCACAAGGAAAAGUCACCUCAGUCACCACUAAGACAAGGACCUAUGCUUAAGCUUACUUAUUAAGAGUUAGUAUAUUGACUUCAGUAAGAAUGUUGUUCGUAAGUCUUUAGACUCUAGUGCUCUCCUCCUUUGGGUUUACUAUUGUAAAAUUUUAUUCUUUCAUGCUUCAGAAGGCAGAGCAGGAUGGUACCUUAGCAACUAACUGUUUCACAGAUUUAAUAGUCAACAGCUUAUUUCAUCAGACAGUAUCAGAUAUCAAACUGUAGCAGUGGUGCCCAAACUUUCUGGGCUGUGGGCUGAGUGAGUGGUGUGGCGUCAAUCCAGAGGCUCAAUCUACAAAUGGGAUCUGUCCAUGGGCCCAAUCUAGCAUGGGGUCGACAUGCAGAUGCAAUCUGGUGUGUGGCCCAAGCCCCUUACACCAGAUUAUGUCCUGGCUUUGCACAUGCCACAUACCCUUGUCCUGGGCCUGUUCAUGCUUGAUUGGGCCCACUGCCCUGGCCCCGUAUGCUGGCCUGAUCCAGCACAUGGGGACAUGUCAUCUGCCUCAUGGGGCUUGGAAAUUUUAAUUGCUACUACUACCCUGCUGCCAAAUUUAUGGACCUGUGGGGAGUCCUGCAGGCUGCUUGAUAUGGCUUCUCAGGCCAGAUCUAGCUUGCAGGCCAGAGGCUGAGCAUCACUGAGCCAUGAUUGUUGUCUAUGAAAGCUCAAGCCCAUCUGAAUCAGUUAGUUUCUAAGGUGUCACCAUGCCUUGCCCUGCCUUCUGCCUGACUUCAGAAUAACACAGCUAACCACCCCUUUGCUUCAUACAAACCAAACUUCAUAUUUUGUAUUUCCCCCCUCCUCCUGUGGAGGGGGGAAUUGUGGACAUCUGAGAAAUUGUUUGAGAAAUUUGUAAUUACAUAAAAUUACUUUGUAAUUUUAUCUAUGUGACAUAUAAUGUUUCAAUGUAUUAUGUUUUCUUAUCUAGAAGUACAUCUAUCUUCAAAUUAUUAACAUAAAUGAUCAGUUUCCCCAAAGGUUGGAUGGAGUUUUAUAAAAGCUUUGUUAAACUGUCUCUUAUUUCAAAAGUACAUGAGUUUACGAAGGGAAUUUAUUAUUUGUAUGCUGCUAAUUUGCAAAUAAAAUGGAUUUCUAAUU